GCACAAGCGGUGGAUGAUGUGGUUAAUUCGAUGCAACGCGAAAAACCUUACCCACCUUUGACAUGUACGGAAUCCUUUAGAGAUAGAGGAGUGCUCGAAAGAGAGCCGUAACACAGGUGCUGCAUGGCUGUCGUCAGCUCGUGUCGUGAGAUGUUCGGUUAAGUCCGCUAACGAGCGCAACCCUCGCUGUGUGUUAUAUGUGUCACACGGGACUGCCGGUCUUAAGCCGGAGGAAGGUGGGGAUGAUGUCAAGUCAGCAUGGCCUUUAUAUCCUGGGCUACACACACGCUACAAUGGCCAACACAAUAGGUUGCUAAGCCGCGAGGUGGCGCCAAUCCAUAAAGUUGGUCUCAGUUCAGAUUGUAGGCUGCAACCCGCCUGCAUGAAGAUGGAGUUGCUAGUAACCGCAGGUCAGCUAUACUGCGGUGAAUACGUUCCCGGGGCUU
rnacentral:rRNA from 1 species